GCGCUGCCAUGUUUUUGUACGGAAGGAGCGCAAAGCACGCUGGGACUGACGCUGGUUUGAAGGCGGGACGGCGGGAAUUCUAUUCCCAGACUUUGGUGUGGAAGAGAGGAAGGUGAAUGGAAGGCCUGUGGACCCCCUGGCAGGACUUCAUUAGACUUGACUGGAAAACUUCAAAGGAAAACAGGAAUUUGAGGCGGAGAUGGAGCGCGCACACACUUUAUGUCAAGACGGUGUGUCCACAGGAGGUGUUUUAGCCCACUUGGAAAGAUUAGAGGCUCAGGCGAACAAAUCCCAUAAAGAAUCUGAAGAACUGCAGAGAGCUCAACCAGAGGAAAGUGCUCUUGAAACCAAGAUUCACCAACUGAGGCACAUUCGAGAUAAACUAAGGGCUGAAGUGAAGCAACGGCAAGCCAGAACCCUUAAGAUCAGAGGAGCCAUCACAGCGACCCCAAAGAAAAAGGAUAAAGCAUCUUCUGCCAACGUAGAACCUGACCAAACAGCAGAGAUCAGUGAGCAAGAUGUUUUGGAAAGAAACCAGGAAACCAUGAAAGCCAUUCUGCAAGCAUAUCAUUUUACAGGGCUCAGUGGAAAAGUGACCAGCCGUGGAGCCUGUGUCUGUAUCAGCACUGCUUUUGAGGGGAACCUACUAGAUUCCUAUUUUGUGGACCUUGUCAUACAGAAGCCACUCCGAAUCCAUCAUCAUUCCAUCCCAGUAUUCAUUCCUUUAGAAAAAAUUGCUGCAAAAUACUUACAGACUGAUAUUCAGCAGUUCCUGUUCAGUCUGUGUGAAUACCUAAACGCUUAUUCUGGGAGGAAGUACCAGGCAGAUCAACUUCAGAGUGACUUCGCAGCCCUUCUGACUGGGCCCUUGCAGAGAAACUCCCUGUGCAACUUGCUGUCAUUUACUUAUAAAGUGGAUCUAGGGGAUCAGUCCUUCCCUUUUUGUGCCAGAUUGCUAUAUAAGGACCUCACAAGAACACUUCCAACUGAUGUCACCGUUACAUAUCAAGGAGUGGAAGCAUUGUCUACUUCAUGGGAAGAGCAGAGAGCAUCUCAUGAAACUCUGUUUUGUACGAAGCCCCUGCAUCAAGUGUUUGCUUCAUUUUCAAGAGGAGGAGAAAAGCUGGAUUUGAGUCUGACCUAAAAUAUUGUUUCCGUUGGGAACACAUUUGAUGUGUAGUCCUAGAACUGAAAAUUGAAAGGCUCUCACACUUUGCUGGGGGACCAUCCUUACUCUAAGAAUAGGCACCUGCUUCUUCAUAGAAUGACAAGGAACAAGUUUGAGUCCCAUAGGCACUGGAAUUCUUGGACAAUUCUCCAUGAUUAAUCACCCAUUAUGCUCAGGAUCAUCUCUUCCUCUGAGAAAUAACCCCCCCUCCCCCUACCAGGUGAAAGGAAAUAUUGCACUUUCUGCUCUCAUAACUAAGGUGAUGGGGGUUCCAGAAGAACCUUUCAAGAUUACCAGGAACAUCAGGACAAGGGCCAUUUAACCUAACUGGGACCAUAUGAAGACAGUCGGGUCUCCGUGGGAGCUCUCUUCACAAUGAAAGCACUGUUGUCAGGUUCCAGCAGAAGUGGAGCAUUCUCCAGCAGUAUCUAACUCUGCCAAGCCCUACUCUUUUUAGCAAAGCUCCUAUUCCUGUGCUCCCAGCCCAGUGGUAAAGGCAGCUUCAUUCCACCUCUGCUGAAUUCUUACUCACAGUGGCCAUGGCCUCUCUGGGGGAAGAAGGGCUGAGUUGGAACUAGGGCUCUGGAAGGACUCUCCGAGUACUACGCCUAAGACUCCUACUCUGGGGAAGCUACAGGCACACUGAAGAAUAGUAUGGCCACCCUCAGAGGUGACAUAUCCACAAACAAGUGAAGGCUUAACAUUUUAAAGUCUAUGGGAAUGUGCACUUCAGUAAUUCAGGAACAUCAGGACGUGGUCAUUGCCCUUUCCCAAGGCCUUUCUUCAAUUCCAAAAGAAAGAAAUUCUCCCUUUCCAUGUGGGCUGUCAUGGGAGCAGAGGCCAUUCAGGAGUUGUCCACCACCUGGUGGGGCAGUGUAACAGAGGAGCCAUUGGGGAAGGCAGCUGGCUUAUCCUUCCCCUUCAAGAAAAAGGUCAGAAGCUCGCCCUUCCCUUUCACAAAGAUGGGACCUCGUCUCACAAAGCGGAAGCCGUACUCUCGGAGGAUGACCUGUGUUUCUUCUACUACCUGCACAUGAAGGAGAAAGUAAGAGAGCUUGGGGUUAGAGAGGGAGCCUAGACUGUGCUGGGUUUAGAGGCCUGGGCUGAAAACGGAUCCACAUGUACUAUCUAUACUCAUGUGACCAUUAGGUCCCAGUCAGUGCUCAUCUUUAAUGUUCUAUCCCAGACCCCCCAGAGAGCUCCAGGUGAAACCUGUGGAACUCGGGGCAACUGGUCCAAAGCCCUUCUCUCUCUAAGACAGCCGUAAUCCUCUCUUCCAGUAGGACAGCCACAGGUCACCCAUGUAGCAGACUACAGUCUGGGAAUUUGUAACUCCCUGCUCUGUUCUCUGGGCUCCCAGUUCAUAGAUCUUUUCUUGCAGACCCAGGUGACAGACAUCAGGAUUGCCCCGGGGGGAGUUGCUGUCAGCACCAAAUAUCAGUUCAUACCAGAGCACAAGCUCUUCUCAACUCAAACAGACCUAUUUGUUGCAAGUGGACUGAACCAUUUUCUUCCUUCUCUUGAGGCUUUAAAGGCCUCUCUUCCCAUGCAUGACCUUCACCUCACAGCUUUGCCAGCUUAGCAUUCUGGGCCAGCAACAGGAGGCAGUGGUGCACAGCAUUCCCUGUGCUGUUUUUCUCCUAUACCUGAGCAUGCUGAACAUACCUGAAUGUUGCCCAUGACCCCUGUGGACUCCAUUCUGCUGGCCACAUUGACUGUGUUGCCCCAUAUGUCAUAGUGUGGUUUCCGGGCUCCAAUGACCCCAGCCAGAACCCCUCCUUUGUUCAUGCCUGGAGUAGGAGGCAUAAAGUUCAGCACAACCACAUGCCAACCUUGGCAUUAUCCUCCCUCAGAAGCCACCAGUUCCUGUUUUAUAAAAAUUUUUACCUGACUCCCACCACAAAAGCUCUUGAAUAUGUAAUACCUUUAUUGUUGAAGUCAUCUUUAAGCUACUAGAAGACAGAACCAUGUCUCCUAAUUAUCCUGUCCUCACCAAGUCCAUGGCAAAUGUUAACUGCCCCCAAUAUGCCAAGUGAUCUAAUCAGUGCAGUACUGGCCAGCUUCUAACAUAGCUAGUACUUCAGGGCUCUGCAACUUCAUCUAGGAGUGAGACCCUCUCAGUAGGUAAUGGCAUGUGACAUUAACUCCUUUCAAAAGACAAUCCACUCUUGAGGAGAGUCCUUAGCAGUCUCAGAAACACCCUAAAAGUUAAGAUAACAGACCCACUUCCUGGGCAUGUCAGAAGGAAUGCUGGAUUAUGAGUAUGUCAUAAGGACAGGUCUAGCUCAACCAUUUCAUCGUUCAGGUUUUCUUUCUUUUUUUUUAAUAUUUAUUUUUUAGUUGUAGUUGGACUCAGUAUCUUUAUUUUUAUGUGGUGCUAAGGAUCAAACCCAGGGCCUCGCAUGUGCUAGGCAAGUGCUCUACCGCUGAGCCACAACCUCAGCCCUCAUUCGGGUUUUCAAUUUGAAGAGACUGGGCUAAAGAUCCUUCAAAUCCUCUCUAGCUCUGUGAGUCUGUGACCUCCCCACCCUAACUACUUUUGGUCUUCCUGAGCCUCUGGUAUUUUUCUGCUGAUAUCCCCAGCACCAGACAGCCAGGGCAGGUGAGCUGGAUCCCUUACCUAUGCGCAGCAUGAAGUUGUUGAAGGACUGAUUGUUGAUGUUUGUAAGUGUAUCCUUCAUGGCUAGUGCAAAGUCGGCCAGGUCAGCCAGGUGCUGCCAGCGCUCCUUGUCUGACUUUUCCUCCUGUGACAAGCAGUGGUGAAAGCGUCAGGAGCCACCCAGGCUCUCACUGGGGCAGCCUGCUCUCCUGUUUCCUUCCUACAGCAGCAUUUACAAGGGAAGAGGUCUCUACAUCUACUUGUUGGUGGCCUUUCCUACGUCCUGGAGUCUGCUGCAGCAUAUUGCUAUGACAAGAGUUCAUACAGGUUCCUCUAGCAUUAUCCUCCCUCAGAAGCCACCAGUUCACUAGGACAAGACUGGCCAUAGUAAUGGGGGAGACAGACUCUACCCAACUCAGUUGCUUCCUGUCAUCUACCUGAUCACGACCCAGAUCUCCACCACCCUAAGCCUGGUCUUCAGGUUUUGGGGUUUUUUGUUUGUUUGUUUGUUUUUGGCACUGGGGAUUGAACUCAGGGGCACUCAACCACUGAGCCACAUCCCCAGCCCUAUUUUGUAUUUCAUUGAGAGACAGGGUCUCACUGAGUUGCUUAGCGCCUCACCAUUGCUGAGGCUGCCUUUGAACUUGCAAUUCUCCUGCCUCAGCCUCCAAGCUAUUGGGAUUAUAGGCAUGUGCCACCGUGCCCAGCUUUUGUGUAGUGAUUUUUGUCUGGAUUCCUCAACUAGAUUAUAAAUACUUUAGGGUGAUGACCUACCUUCCACCUGCUUUGUUAAUCUCAUCCAGAAAGUAGAGAUGGCAGUAGUACUGACAUGGUUGUAAAGGUAGAACAGGGUAAUGUUUUAAGGACAGUGCCUGACACAAGGGUUCUACAGGUCUGCAUUAGCUUAGCAGAGAGCAGGCAGAUAGCCAGUGAGUUCCCAGAUCUUCCUUUUAAAGUUUCCAUUGUUACAGAAUUGCACAGGUUGCUCCUGCUCCCCAGUUAUUAUGAAAGUAUGUAUCCUAAAGAGGGCAUAGUCACAAUGUGCACAAACUAUCUUAGGCAUACGCUGUAGAACUAUAAUGGGGAUUUGUGUGUGUUCUUUUUCUUGGCUUUCUCAGUAAACUCUCUUAUAUCUGCA